UUCCUACGGGUGGCAGCAGUGGGGAAUAUUGGACAAUGGGCGCAAGCCUGAUCCAGCCAUGCCGCGUGAGUGAUGAAGGCCCUAGGGUUGUAAAGCUCUUUCGCCAGGGACGAUAAUGACGGUACCUGGAUAAGAAGCCCCGGCUAACUUCGUGCCAGCAGCCGCGGUAAUACGAAGGGGGCUAGCGUUGUUCGGAAUCACUGGGCGUAAAGCGCACGUAGGCGGAUCUUUAAGUCAGAGGUGAAAUCCCAAGGCUUAACCUUGGAACUGCCUUUGAUACUGGGGAUCUUGAGUCCGGGAGAGGUGAGUGGAACUGCGAGUGUAGAGGUGAAAUUCGUAGAUAUUCGCAAGAACACCAGUGGCGAAGGCGGCUCACUGGCCCGGAACUGACGCUGAGGUGCGAAAGCGUGGGGAGCAAACAGGAUUAGAUACCCCGGUAGUCC
rnacentral:rRNA from 1 species